UCGGGGUACUCGAGUGGCGAACGGGUGAGUAACACGUGGGUGAUCUGCCCUGCACUUUGGGAUAAGCCUGGGAAACUGGGUCUAAUACCGGAUAGGACCACACACUUCAUGUNNNGUGAGUGGUGCAAAGCUUUUGCGGUGUGGGAUGAGCCCGCGGCCUAUCAGCUUGUUGGUGGGGUAAUGGCCCACCAAGGCGACGACGGGUAGCCGGCCUGAGAGGGUGACCGGCCACACUGGGACUUGAGAUACGGCCCAGACUCCUACGGGAGGCAGCAGUGGGGAAUAUUGCACAAUGGGCGCAAGCCUGAUGCAGCGACGCCGCGUGAGGGAUGACGGCCUUUCGGGUUGUAAACCUCUUUCAGUAGGGACGAAGCGAAAGUGACGGUACCUACAGAAGAAGGACCGGCCAACUACGUGCCAGCAGCCGCGGUAAUACGUAGGGUCCGAGCGUUGUCCGGAAUUACUGGGCGUAAAGAGCUCGUAGGUGGUUUGUCGCGUUGUUCGUGAAAACUCACAGCUUAACUGUGGGCGUGCGGGCGAUACGGGCAGACUAGAGUACUGCAGGGGAGACUGGAAUUCCUGGUGUAGCGGUGGAAUGCGCAGAUAUCAGGAGGAACACCGGUGGCGAAGGCGGGUCUCUGGGCAGUAACUGACGCUGAGGAGCGAAAGCGUGGGUAGCGAACAGGAUUAGAUACCCUGGUAGUCCACGCCGUAAACGGUGGGUACUAGGUGUGGGUUUCCUUCCUUGGGAUCCGUGCCGUAGCUAACGCAUUAAGUACCCCGCCUGGGGAGUACGGUCGCAAGACUAAAACUCAAAGGAAUUGACGGGGGCCCGCACAAGCGGCGGAGCAUGUGGAUUAAUUCGAUGCAACGCGAAGAACCUUACCUGGGUUUGACAUGCACAGGACGUACCUAGAGAUAGGUAUUCCCUUGUGGCCUGUGUGCAGGUGGUGCAUGGCUGUCGUCAGCUCGUGUCGUGAGAUGUUGGGUUAAGUCCCGCAACGAGCGCAACCCUUGUCCUAUGUUGCCAGCGGGUAAUGCCGGGGACUCGUAGGAGACUGCCGGGGUCAACUCGGAGGAAGGUGGGGAUGACGUCAAGUCAUCAUGCCCCUUAUGUCCAGGGCUUCACACAUGCUACAAUGGCCAGUACAGAGGGCUGCGAAGCCGUAAGGUGGAGCGAAUCCUUUAAAGCUGGUCUCAGUUCGGAUUGGGGUCUGCAACUUGACCCCAUGAAGUCGGAGUCGCUAGUAAUCGCAGAUCAGCAACGCUGCGGUGAAUACGUUCCCGGGCCUUGUACACACCGCCUNNCANGUCAUGAAAGUCGGUAACACCCGAAGC
rnacentral:rRNA from 1 species